GAUGAACGCUGGCGGCGCGCCUAACACAUGCAAGUCGAACGGCACCCCUCCUCGGAGGGAAGCGAGUGGCGAACGGCUGAGUAACACGUGGAGAACCUGCCCCCUCCCCCGGGAUAGCCGCCCGAAAGGACGGGUAAUACCGGAUACCCCGGGGUGCCGCAUGGCACCCCGGCUAAAGCCCCGACGGGAGGGGAUGGCUCCGCGGCCCAUCAGGUAGACGGCGGGGUGACGGCCCACCGUGCCGACAACGGGUAGCCGGGUUGAGAGACCGACCGGCCGGAUUGGGACUGAGACACGGCCCAGACUCCUACGGGAGGCAGCAGUGGGGAAUCUUGCGCAAUGGGGGGAACCCUGACGCAGCGACGCCGCGUGCGGGACGGAGGCCUUCGGGUCGUAAACCGCUUUCAGCAGGGAAGAGUCAAGACUGUACCUGCAGAAGAAGCCCCGGCUAACUACGUG
rnacentral:rRNA from 1 species